rnacentral:rRNA from 1 species
GAUGAACGCUGGCGGCGUGCCUAAUACAUGCAUGUCGAGCGAACGGACGAGAAGCUUGCUUCUCUGAUGUUAGCGGCGGACGGGUGAGUAACACGUGGAUAACCUACCUAUAAGACUGGGAUAACUUCGGGAAACCGGAGCUAAUACCGGAUGAUAUUUUGAACCGCAUGGUUCAAAAGUGAAAGACGGUCUUGCUGUCACUUAUAGAUGGAUCCGCGCUGCAUUAGCUAGUUGGUAAGGUAACGGCUUACCAAGGCAACGAUGCAUAGCCGACCUGAGAGGGUGAUCGGCCACACUGGAACUGAGACACGGUCCAGACUCCUACGGGAGGCAGCAGUAGGGAAUCUUCCGCAAAGGGCGAAAGCCUGACGGAGCAACGCCGCGUGAGUGAUGAAGGUCUUCGGAUCGUAAAACUCUGUUAUUAGGGAAGAACAUAUGUGUAAGUAACUGUGCACAUCUUGACGGUACCUAAUCAGAAAGCCACGGCUAACUACGUG